rnacentral:tRNA from 1 species
UCAAAGAAGUGAGAUUUUAACUCCCACCCCUAACUCCCAAAGCUAGGAUUCUAAACUAAACUAUUCUUUG